rnacentral:rRNA from 1 species
UACGUAGGGACCAAGCGUUGUUCGGAUUUACUGGGCGUAAAGGGCGCGUAGGCGGCGCAAUAAGUCACUUGUGAAAUCUCCGGGCUUAACUCGGAGCGGCCAAGUGAUACUGUUGUGCUAGAGUGCAGAAAGGGCAAUCGGAAUUCUCGGUGUAGCGGUGAAAUGCGUAGAUAUCGGAAGGAACAUCAGUGGCGAAAGCGACUUCCUGGACCAGUACCGACGUUCAGGCACGAAAGCGUGGGGAGCAAACAGG